ensembl:lncRNA
CCAAGCCAUUCUAUGAUUCUAUGAUUCCAUGAUUCUAUGAUUCUACAAUGUUUUAGUUAUAGGUACACACUUCGGAAGCUUUGAAAAUUACUGGAAAAAGGUAUUAUUCAAGAGCUAUGCAUUCCUUCAUCAUUAAAGAACUUUGCAGGAUUCAAAACAGUAACUGAACCACAUUGUAAAGAAAGGCAAAUACUGCAGUUGCAGUAAAACCUUUAAUUUAAACAUCCAUGUGUUUUGGCAAUACUAUUAAGCUUCCGUCAUUCAGUGCACACAGCAUUUUCUCAUCAAAUAAGAUUGUAUAAAAAGUUCUCUUCUGUACUGGUUAAUUAAUUAUCGCCCACUUUCAUAGCUUUUCUUCCAUGUUUCAGUGCUGCUUCAGUCAUUAGUGAUUACUGGAUUAGGUUAACCAUUCAUCCGAUGAGGCAAUACCCAAGCUCCUAUACCAAGCAAAUACAUUAAAAGCAAUACAGAAACAAAUUAGAUUUUUCUUACAUUGACUGUUUUAUUUUGGUUUUACACAUUUAAAUGGUUCUGAUUUGUAACCAUACAACCAGCCAAUAAAUGCUCCUUCCUUUGUCCUGAAAGUUUGUCUACCUCAGAAUGUGGUUCCCUAACAAAGAGGAUAUUUGUCAAUAUGGAAAUGUCCAUUUAUACUGGAACCACUUUAGUAAUCUUAUGGCAGCUAAUGUUAUUACUGAUGUCAUUGUGACAUCAAUCGUUGCUUUGGCCAUGCAAAUGACAGGGAAUGUGUGAGAGCACUUGUACUUCAUUCUUCAGAUUUGCAGGAAUUUGAAAAAUAGGCCGUAACAAAAAUCUCACUUUCUUUGACACUUGAGAACUUAACAAUGAACCCAUGAAAUAGUACUUGGAAAAGUGGGUAACAAUUAGACUCAUUCAUACAGAACCAAAUGCCUUAAUUGACAUACCCAAUGAAACAGAAAUUCCUAGUAUAUUCUAUAUAUCACAAAGAUUUUGUAAACAAUUCACAGAGCUUCUAUCAGUACUUCUACUUAUGAAGUGCUAAUUAGUGUUCUUGUAUUUGCCAAAUAUUCAGAAGACCUCUUAACUCUUGCAGAAUGCUGUAUCUAUUCAGGCAUAAUCAACACACAAAAUAUUACUUGCUGAUUUUUCCACAUGAUUAACAUACUUGGUUUUAAAGUCAACACUGUAAAACACCGAAAAGUCACUGAUUUUAUUUUUAAAACACCCCACAAUGCUCCUUGAGGAGUUGGUAAGGAGGGAAGAAGACUUCUGGGAUCGGUCACUGGUGGCAGCAUGAGUUCCAUUAUGGAUCUUCCACAUACUUUAUUGAAAUGCCUGGGAGAGAAGGGUGCUGUGCAGGACUCUGAACACUGCAGCAGCCAGCUGCUUCCUGCAGGCUUGCAAGCUUUUGAGGUGCAAAAUUUUGUCAAGUACAGUACACAAGAGGAGAGGAAAGCCUGAGCCACAUGCGCUCAACAUAUUGCACUGCUUACCUGUUACACUGCUGCCAUAUUUCUGGAUAAACUGGGAAGAGGUUGGAUUUCUGUCUGUGUAGUGGACCUGAAAGUGAGUAAGGAACUCUGGUGAAGGUGGUGCUGGGGUCACACGUCACUGAGGGCAGAAUUUCUACAGAAAUAAUUUCAGUCUCCAAAAAUAUACACCUGUUAAGUGUUUUCCAAAUAGUUCCUGUCUGUCUGAAAUAAGUCCCUGAGGACUAGCCUAUAUAAUUCCAACUUUUGGCAUCUCAGGCUAGUUAUAUCAGGAUAAAUUUAUCCUGAAUUAAACACUGUUUGCACUUAGCCAGUUUUAGUCUGGUGCUCCGGAUCUGAAAAGCAGGCAGAGUGAUAGUGACCUAAGGUUAAACAUAAGUUCUAUUUAUAUAUUUUAAAGUGAUCAAGCUAAUCCAUGUACACAUACAGAGUGUGACGGUCACUAACAAGCUGUAACAGUUCAAAUAAACCCUUUUAAAGGAGGUACUAAAUUUCUUGGAAAGAGCAGAGAAGCAAUUUGCACAGAUCUCGGAAGAUAACAAUAAAUGCCAUAAGGCUUCACAGUAACUUGUCAACUGUAAGGCACCAUGCAAGUGGAGCAGAUCAUAAAAGACAUUUUAGCCUAGCUUCUAGCAAAGCUUAUGAAUCUAAGUUUGUUCUUGCCAAGAAGGGAGAAUUUUGCCAUGGGAUGGCGAAAGACAUUAGUCACUGUAUUAUAGCACUACUCAGUGCCAUUUCCUUGGUGAUAGAUUUUUUCUUCCAGAUCUGCACAUAGCUGUAUGAUAUGUCUUGAUAACACCAAAUAAAU